GUACGGCUUGCCGAGAGGUCAGGCGCUGGAUUGCAAGCCCAGUUACGUCGGUUCGAUUCCGACGCCGUACUCCA
rnacentral:tRNA from 1 species